UGGUGGAGUGAUUUGUCUGCUUAAUUGCGUUAACGAACGAGACCUCCGCCUGCUAAAUAGUUAUGCGGCUCAUUGAGCCGUUGUGACUUCUUAGAGGGACUACUGGUGUUUAGCCAGCGGAAGUUGGAGGCAAUAACA
rnacentral:rRNA from 1 species